rnacentral:rRNA from 1 species
UACGUAGGUCACAAGCGUUGUCCGGAUUUAUUGGGCGUAAAGGGAGCGCAGGCGGCCAGUUAAGUCUGAUGUGAAAGCCCACGGCUCAACCGUGGAGGUGCAUUGGAAACUGAUUGGCUUGAGUACAGAAGAGGAAAGUGGAAUUCCAUGUGUAGCGGUGAAAUGCGUAGAUAUAUGGAGGAACACCAGUGGCGAAGGCGACUUUCUGGUCUGUAACUGACGCUGAGGCUCGAAAGCGUGGGUAGCAAACAGG